CUUCUCUACCUAAUAAUAUGAAUUAAUAUGGCCAUAACAUUGGGCAAAAAAAGCCAGACACAAAAGAGUAAACUACUGCGUGGUUCCCUUUAUUUGAAGUUCAAAAUCAGGAAAAACUAAUCUAUGGUGGCAAAUAUUAGAAUAAUGGUUACCUUUGGAGAAGAGUAUUAUCUAGGAGGAGGCAUGAAGGAGCCUGCUGGUGAAUUGAAAAUGCCCUACAUCUUGAUCUGGGUGGUGGUUAUGGUUACAUGGAGGUAAUACAUGUUUUUAAAAAAUCAUUAAGUUAUUAAGAUUUCUGCUUCUGAUGCAAGUUACACCUCAAUAAAAAGGGGAAAAAAAAACAGUGCCUAUGCCUACCUCCAGAAAAUGUUGAUUCAUUGGUCUGGAGUAGAGCACAGGCAGGGGUAAUUUUUUAACAUCUUCCAGAUGCUUCCAAUAUGCAGCCAGGGUCGAGAAUGACUCCCUUACAUGAUUGGACUCCCUUACAUGAUUGGACUCCCUUACAUGAUUAGACUUAACUGAGUUUUGGUCAAGCAGGGCAGUAGCUGUAAGCUUUGGAAGAGAAAGCCAGCAGUUAUCCGAGCGGUUCCCUCCCAUCUGUGAGACUCUUGCUCAUGUCAGCAGUAUUCCCUUGUCUUCCCCUCGGACAGGUGAUGGGCCUGAGACGGGUUUGAAAUAGGUCAGGAUAGAACCUUCAUGGACUCUAGUGUUCUAUUGCACAUUAAGCCUCAAAUUAACUUUUCAUUCUGGUUUCCAACCACUCUGUCCUUACAGGUCAUGAAAGGAACACCAAUGUUUUGCAAACUAUGGGCAGCAGUGUUUUUGAGGGUCAUGAUCAGUUUAGUGUAGCAAUUCUCUAUCUUUUCUUAAGAUCUUAGGACCCCUUUAUUCUUGUAAAGAGUGAGAGCCCCAAAGACCUUUUGUGUAUGUAGAUAUAUUUAAAAAUUAAAAUAGAAAAUUUUUAAA
rnacentral:lncRNA from 10 species